UACGGAGGAUGCAAGCGUUAUCCGGAAUGAUUGGGCGUAAAGCGUCCGUAGGUGGCUAUUCAAGUCUGCUGUCAAAGACCGGGGCUUAACUUCGGAAAGGCAGUGGAAACUGAACAGCUAGAGUAUGGUAGGGGCAGAGGGAAUUCCUGGUGUAGCGGUGAAAUGCGUAGAGAUCAGGAAGAACAUCGGUGGCGAAGGCGCUCUGCUGGACCAUAACUGACACUCAGGGACGAAAGCUAGGGGAGCGAACAGG
rnacentral:rRNA from 1 species